rnacentral:lncRNA from 1 species
GUUCCUCACAAAAUGACAGUCAGGAAGAUCAGGGUGCAGACCUGAUUUCCCACGAAGGGCUGAAAGCAGACAACCGGAGGGAGAGCAGCACCUGGGUCAAUGAGGUAGAAGACAGAAGACCACAGUGUACUUCUGCCCUCAACCUCACCCCCUCCCACCUACAUCCUCCACACCCCCUGACCACCUUCUUCAGAAACGUAAUAGGAAUCAAGAUCCCCCCUGGCCUGGUUGCUAUGGGAGGCACAGUGGCCUGAUGGAGCCUGAGCUAAACAAGCACUGGCCUUGAGAUAAGCAAUGCUGAAGCACUUGCAGCUCACCUAUUACCAUAAACUGACUGAGCCCUCCCUACACAAGCCGUAACUACUGCUUUGAUUGGACAAGAGACUGAUUUCAGUAGUUUUCUCUUGAUAAGAGACCACUGGCCGUGGGCGGGUUCUGGACAGUUUACAGAAGCUAUGCACUUGAUUGCCUUUGUGUCCCUGCUUCACCUUUUGAAGCAUAGGGCCUAAUUAUAAUGUAUUUAAAUGUUGUCUCCACCCCAAAGUGAACAUGGGUUGCAUGUAACAGGCAUGUUUACUCAGCAUGCAUGCAGCAGGAUCCCUUCACAAAUAUUCAGAGCUCCCCCUAUUCCCUGUUGAAUAUGUAUAUGUGGCCAGCCAGAUCAACGUAAAUCACUAUUCGCCCUCCCCUCCCUGGAAACCUACUUUUCGGGUUUCAGCAGGAAGCUAUGCCUCCCCGUCUGUCAGAAUGGCCACUUGCAGGCUGU